rnacentral:rRNA from 1 species
UACGUAGGGGGCAAGCGUUGUCCGGAUUCAUUGGGCGUAAAGAGCGUGUAGGCGGCCAGGUAGGUCGGUUGUGAAAACUGGAGGCUCAACCUUCAGAGGUCGACCGAAACCAUCUGGCUAGAGUCCGGGAGAGGAGAGUGGAAUUCCUGGUGUAGCGGUGAAAUGCGCAGAUAUCAGGAAGAACACCCGUGGCGAAAGCGGCUCUCUGGCCCGGUACUGACGCUGAGGCACGAAAGCGUGGGGAGCAAACAGG